UAGGGAAUCUUCCGCAAUGGGCGAAAGCCUGACGGAGCAACGCCGCGUGAGUGAUGAAGGUCUUCGGAUCGUAAAACUCUGUUAUUAGGGAAGAACAAAUGUGUAAGUAACUAUGCACGUCUUGACGGUACCUAAUCAGAAAGCCACGGCUAACUACGUGCCAGCAGCCGCGGUAAUACGUAGGUGGCAAGCGUUAUCCGGAAUUAUUGGGCGUAAAGCGCGCGUAGGCGGUUUUUUAAGUCUGAUGUGAAAGCCCACGGCUCAACCGUGGAGGGUCAUUGGAAACUGGAAAACUUGAGUGCAGAAGAGGAAAGUGGAAUUCCAUGUGGAGCGGUGAAAUGCGCAGAGAUAUGGAGGAACACGAGUGGGGAAGGCGACUUUCUGGUCUGGAAAUGACGCUGAUGUGCGAAAGCGUGGGGAUCAAACAGG
rnacentral:rRNA from 1 species